UACGGAGGGUGCGAGCGUUAUCCGGAAUUACUGGGUUUAAAGGGUGCGUAGGCGGCUUUGUAAGUCAGGAGUGAAAGUUUGCGGCUCAACCGUAAAAUUGCUUUUGAUACUGCGAGGCUGGAAUUAGGAUGAGGUCAGCGGAAUGUGGCAUGUAGCGGUGAAAUGCAUAGAUAUGCCAUAGAACACCAAUUGCGAAGGCAGCUGGCUAGACCUGGAUUGACGCUGAGGCACGAAAGCGUGGGGAGCGAACAGG
rnacentral:rRNA from 1 species